UAGGGAAUCUUCCGCAAUGGACGAAAGUCUGACGGAGCAACGCCGCGUGAGUGAAGAAGGAUUUCGGUUCGUAAAACUCUGUUGUUAGGGAAGAAAAAAUGUAUAGUAACUAUAUACAAAAGAGACGGUACCUAACCAGAAAGCCACGGCUAACUACGUGCCAGCAGCCGCGGUAAUACGUAAGGUCCGAGCGUUGUCCGGAAUCAUUGGGCGUAAAGGGUACGUAGGCGGAUAAGCAAGUUAGAAGUGAAAUCCUAUAGCUCAACUAUAGUAAGCUUUUAAAACUGCUCAUCUUGAGGUAUGGAAGGGAAAGUGGAAUUCCUAGUGUAGCGGUGAAAUGCGCAGAUAUUAGGAGGAAUACCGGUGGCGAAGGCGACUUUCUGGCCAUAUACUGACGCUGAGGUACGAAAGCGUGGGUAGCAAACAGG
rnacentral:rRNA from 1 species